CCUACGGGUGGCAGCAGUGGGGAAUAUUGGACAAUGGGCGCAAGCCUGAUCCAGCCAUGCCGCGUGUGUGAAGAAGGCCUUCGGGUUGUAAAGCACUUUCAGUGGGGAAGAAAGCCUUGGGGCUAAUACCCUCGAGGAAGGACAUCACCCACAGAAGAAGCACCGGCUAACUCCGUGCCAGCAGCCGCGGUAAUACGGAGGGUGCGAGCGUUAAUCGGAAUUACUGGGCGUAAAGCGCGCGUAGGCGGUCUGAUAAGCCGGUUGUGAAAGCCCCGGGCUCAACCUGGGAACGGCAUCCGGAACUGUCAGGCUAGAGUGCAGGAGAGGAAGGUAGAAUUCCCGGUGUAGCGGUGAAAUGCGUAGAGAUCGGGAGGAACACCAGUGGCGAAGGCGGCCUUCUGGACUGAAACUGACGCUGAGGUGCGAAAGCGUGGGUAGCAAACAGGAUUAGAUACCCGAGUAGUC
rnacentral:rRNA from 1 species